UACGGAGGAUGCGAGCGUUAUCCGGAUUUAUUGGGUUUAAAGGGUGCGCAGGCGGAUUUUUUAGUCAGCGGUCAAAUCGUGGGGCUCAACCCCAUCCAGCCGUUGAAACUGGGGAUCUAGAGUGUGCGAGAGGUAUGCGGAAUGCGUGGUGUAGCGGUGAAAUGCAUAGAUAUCACGCAGAACCCCGAUUGCGAAGGCAGCAUACCGGUGCACAACUGACGCUCAGGCACGAAAGCGUGGGUAUCGAACAGG
rnacentral:rRNA from 1 species